GGUCCCAAACCCAGGCCCCGCAAAUUCGGUCCCAAAUCCAGGCCAACCACUUCCAAAUCUUACAACACUGGGGGGCAAAAAAUUUUGCGUACCCAAACCUGAGGCUACAGAUGAAAAAUUGACGGCCUGUAUAAAAUGAGUUUGCAAAGAGGGAGGUGUGGAUUGUGGUCCAAUUAAUCCUGGAGGUGCAUGUUCUCAGCCCAAUGCUCUUAGGUCUCGUGCAACCUGGGCCAUGAAUGCUUACUUUCAAAUAAAGGGUAAAACUGACACACUGUGUGGUUUUUCGGGCACUGGUGUCGUCUCCUCCACUGAUCCAAGUAAGUAUUCAACAUUUUUUGAUUAGUGUAAAGAAUUUUGAAUAUUAUCAAAUCACUUUGAAGACGAAGAAUUUUUGCGAUACAUACUGACAAUGUUUUGUCAGAUCACCGAUAAAAUAACCACGUAUAACUCAGCAUAGUAACCAAGAUUAGUAACCUAAAAUAUUAGGCAAACAACUGAAAUAACAGUUUAAAUUAUAUUGAUAGUGUAAAAGUUUUUGAAAUUGUAAGCGUAUGUAAGUUUUCACAACAUUAAGUGUUUAGUCUCUUAUUAUAAAAUAAUAAAAUAUUGAAUUUGAAUUGAAAUCAAAUUUAUAAUUAAUAGACCGUGAAUUCAAUAAGAAAACUAAAAAUGGAGCAAUUCAGUUCUAUCCUAAUACAAUUUUUGUUAAUUAGUCCCAUGACAAAAUUACAAUUAUACUCAUUAGUAAGUUUUCAGAUGGAGAAAAUCAUAAAUUUAAAAGGCAAAUAAGCCAAUCGUUUUUUAGUGGAUAUUUUGGUAAGACAACAUUAUUAUUCUUGAUUCUAUAGUAAUAUAGACAGAUAGAUGUAAAUUACAUCUACUUAUUGUUUAGGCUAUUUAAAUAGUGUAAAAAGAUCUUCUGUUUUUUAGUUUAUAAAAGUUAAAACUCUGACGAUAAUUAUUGAUAUUGUUCAUGAUAAGUAAAUUAGUAACUAAUCUGACAAAUAAGAUAAGUAACUUGUUACAACAUAUUACAAUGCAAUUCACAUCCAAUAUUUUUAUCAUAAAACAUUCUUAAAUAUUUUAUUGAAAAUCUAAUGAUAGUUGUCCUAAUAAUUGUUUUUUUCUUUUUUGUAGGUUAUGGUACAUGCAAGUACCAAUCUUAAGUUUUUCGGACCCCAAAAGGAAGAUUUUGUAGCUACUCCAACAUUUGAAGAAUUAGUUUUGAAAUAUUAAGAAAUUGUUUCAAAAUUCUGUAUUUAAUUUUCACAAACUAAUCUAAUUAUGUUGUCAUGUAGUAUGUUGUUAUUACAAAUUAAAAAAAUAAAAAAGAUUGUUGCCUACUUAAUUUUGCAUGAUCAAGUUUUAUUUAUAUUCUAUCUUUUAUACUUUUUGUUUGAUAAAUUAGGUGCAACAUUCUACUAAAACUAAACAAUGCUAUUACUAUUUGAAGAAUUAUAUAUUUUUUUCUUUAACCGUGAUUUACUUAAUACUAAAAAUAAAGAAAGUACAACAAAUAUUAAGUUAUUCAGCUUAUAAAAGUUAUGAAAAAGCUAAAAGCUUAUUGAAUAAUCUUUGUGUUAUCUUUCAAUUAGAACUAUACAUAGAAUUAAAAUCUGAAAUUGAAUCAUAAGCUAUAAGAAUUAAGUUCUUAAAUGAGAAAAAAAAGAGGACAAGUUUUAUUUAUUUUUAAAACAUCUCUUAUCUUAGACCAUUGGAACUUAAAAUUUAUUUAUAGAGUAUUUGUUACAGCUCAAAAUAUGAUCAUGACCGGUGCUAAGGAGGUUGGAAUUCCGAAGCAAGCCUCUUUAGUAUUCUACAGAAAAUUGGACAGGAGUUUCCACUGUUUUUGGGUCUAUCAAGAAAAUUCUGUCUCAAAUCAACAACACAGCCACUCAACAUCAUAACCAAUAAUACCAAUACAAUUUACCAAAAUCAUCAACAACCCAUUCACCACAAAUAACAUUCGAUAUUCAUCUCCAAACUAUGAGAAGAAGUCAAUAACUUCACAAGUCCAUAAUAACAAAAGAAUACGGAAACUCUAAAGACAUGACUAUAGAUCGACUCUAAGAGUUUUCAAUGUGAAUAAGUGCGGGGCUUACCAGGAAUAUGUCACAAUCUAAGGCUACUCCCUAGUCACGAUAACGGUGUUUACGGUCACAAGUGACCAUAAGCUAAUCCAUGAGCUGGUUCCUGCUGUGAGCAUGAGUAUAAUAAUAAUAUAACACAUUUGUGGAAGAUACAUUGAGAAAAUAAUACCAAUCUGACUAUUGAAAAUGUGGUUCAACCACAAGUUUGAAAAAUCUGAUGAAAUACUGGAAGCUAACUGUCAAUUUAAAAUAAUGGAUAAUACUGAAAGGUAUGGUAAACCGAAUAACCAUCUAACUGACUGUCUGAUUGUCUGAAAAGUCUUUAACUGAAUGACUGAGGAGUUGAUGAGACAAACCCCCAACUAACUCCGAAUGACUGAACAUAAUGAAAUUCUGAAGUGCUGGAUGAGAAAUAAUAUGUCCUCGAUGGAUGAAGACUCACCGCUAGGCUGCUGAGUAGCGCUGGCUGUCUAACUACGUCGGGAAACUGAGCCUUUAAACCUAUGAUAUAUGACAUCCUGAAGCAAAUAAGAGUAUACGUUCAAUACUUUGAAUGUAUGCGUUCAGUACUUUGAAUGUACUGGUAUAUGAGAUGAGCUCAGACUGAUAUACAUGGGGUACUACAUAUAUUAAAGAAUGACUAACUUAAUGACAUGCGAUAACUGAAUAUGAAUGCAUGUAAAUUAUAACAUCUGAGAAUGCAUGACUAAAUAUAUAUCUGUUAUGUUACUGAGAUAAUCUAAAAUCUGAAAGACUGAAAAGUUGUAAACUGAACAUAUGAAUAUCCAUAAAGAUCAUGACCCAUCAAAGCUCGCUCUAAUGGAUCAUCCGACAACAACAAAUGUAACUUAGAAGCAAGGUCAGUAACCGAUAUAGAUGACAACUUUUCAUAUAUAGCUGGCAAUUUUAGUGCCUUAUACACAUAAAAAAUCUCCACUUUAUCAUGUGCUCGCAUUGUCACUUUCCUUGCUGCUACAUCAAUUAGUGACUAUCCCAUUACUAAGAAGGGUCCUCCCAAAAUAAAUGGGACCACCGGGUCAGCUUCGAAGUCUAGAAUAACAAAAUCCACAGGAAAGAUCAAAGAUCCUACUUGCACUAAAAUAUCUUCAAUAAUACUAUCAGGCCUAGCAUGGGACCUAUCAACCAAUUGAAAUAUGAUAGUAUUGGGUUUAGUACUCCCAAGAUCCAUCUUCCGGAACCAUAACGUGGGCAUAAGAUUAAUACUUGCACCUAAAUCGCACAACCCAUGAGAACUUAUAACCUGUCCAAUAGUGAUCUGCAAGGUAAAACAGUUUGGAUCUUUAUCUUUGUCGACAGUUUAUUUUGUAUCUUCGAUGUGCACUUUAGACUAAGUGCAACUGUCGCAUAUUAUGUCAACCAAUUUUAUUUGCCAUUAUAUCCUUCAAAUACUUAGCAAAUUUUGGCACGCUUUGUAGAAUAUCAACAAGAAGAAGAUUUACUUGAACCUAUUUUAAGAGAUCCCUAAACUUCUUGUAGCUUCUUUCUCUUGAUGCUUUCGUUGUAUAUGAGGAAAAGAGAGGGGUAGAGUCUUAUUUUCCCUUUGAAUUUCCUCUUCUGCAUCUUUUUCUUUGACUGUGGUCUCCUUUUUAUUAUCCUCUUCAUCAUCAACAGCAGUGUGACUAUCUUUCUCAGGCUCUUUCUGACUCAACUGCAAACCACUCUUUGUUGUAACCACAUUCACCUACUUUGGAUUUGCCUUUGUAUCACUAGGCAAACCCCCUAGAGGUCUUGUAUUCUGUGCUCAUAUAAUUUGUCCAAUUUGUAGCUCUAAAUUCUUUGUGUUCAACUGUUGAUUCUCCAAAUCUGCUGCAAACUGUGUCUGAUUCGCAAGAAGCUGCUUCAUCAUCUCCUCUACAAUUGGAGUGGUGGUCUGAUUUUAUUGCACUUGCUACUGAUUUUAUUGCACUAGGGGCUUAUACUAAUUAUUACCUUGAUCUUGGUUUCCACCCCAUAAGAAAUUAGGGUGGUUCCUGUAAUUUGGAUUGUACGUGUUACCAUAAUUCUGUAUUCCUUGCCGAUUUUCAUUGCCAAUGUAAUUGAAAGAAUCUGGAUUAACUGCACAUGCUUCUGCUGUAUUCUCACUGCUCCCGCAAAAUUCACACCAUGAGUUUAGCUGUGCUACGACAUUAGUUGUAGCUGCUUCUUGUGGUACUCCUAACUUUAUGUUGUUAACUUGAGUGAUCAUAUGAUUUUGCAUUGCUGCAAUCUGCGCUUGUAAAGUAGUAAACUGGUCUACCUCUAAUACCCCUGCAACCUUCUUAGGAGCACUCCUUGAGUCUGCAUGCCAAUCAGGAUUCCCUUGUGAAAUUCGAUUCAACAGUGUAUAUAAUUUUUAUAAGUUUUCUGCAAAGCUUGUCCACCAGUUGCUGAAUCCAAGAGAAUCUUUGUGUUAGACUCAGCCUUCUACAAAUGUGUGAACCAAAACAUCAUCCGAUUAAUGGUGAUAAAGACAAUUUCUGAUCAUGCCUCUAAAUCUCUCCCAAGCUUGUUAGAGAUUCUCUCUAUCUUUUUGUAUAAAACUCAAGAUCUCACUCCUCAAACAUGCAGUCUUCUGUGAUAGAAAGAAUCGAAUAAGGAACUUUCGAGCGUAAUCUUCCCAUGAAGUGAUGGUGAGUGGUGGUUCAACAUGUAACCACCUCUUUGCUUCCCCUAUUAGAGAAAAAAGGUAAGAGUGUCAAUAUGACAUAAUCAACAUUCAUCCCUACAGGAAUGUACGUAUCACUUAUUUCUAGGAAGGUCUGCAUGUGCUGCUGCGGUUCUUUUGAAAGGUCGUGGUAUUGCCCCACUGAAUUCAAUAGUUGCACCAUAUUCUUCUUCAGUCCAAAUCGACCACCUGGAUCGGGCUUGCGAAUACUGUUAGUCACAUAGUUCGUGAGUGGGAUUUUCAUCUCACGAACAGGUCUUGCAGCUGGUUGAGUAGGAACAGCUGGGAUAAUCGGAGCUAGGAUAUUUCCAGCAUUUGGAUCAACCACAUUCAUAUCUCUUAUUUCAGCCAUUUCAACCUGUUGAAUUGGAUAUUGAGCUCUUCGCCUUUGAUGAAAAAUCAUCUCUGGUUCUACAAAAGGCUCUACCAACUCUUUAUCUCUAGCCAGUCCUGUAUUCAGCUAAACCUGCAAAAAUUCAGCCGCUAAGAUCAAGUUGUUAACACUUAAACUUAUUAUCAAAAAUAAAAUUUUUAGCAAUUUACUAAUUAUACUAUUCCCCUACAACGGUGCCAAAAACUUGUUGCAUCUCAAAUGUACACGUAAGUGCAUGUGAUCAUACAAGUAGUAUAGAGACUUAGACAGUCAAAUAUCGUUCCUACAAGGACUAAGCAACUAGAAAUUUAACCAACUUUUUGUUUUAGACAACGAGGUAUUAAGUGUUGUAAAGUAUCCAGAUGAUUGUGAAUUUUGUGAAUAAAAAUAUAAAUAAAUAAUAAGAAAUAGCAAUUUGUGACUAAAGAAAACCAAGCAACAGUUGUAAACUAUAAUAAUAAGAAUUCUAGGGUUGAGGCAUUUCGAACAAUCAUGUAAAUCUCUAUUCUUAUUGUUGUUUAAUUGGUUAUCGGGUUGUUGAUUCACAAGGUUUAUGCUACGAUCUUGGUCUCCCAACCUCAAAUCUUCUAUCUAUUGAAUAUUAUAGCUACAACUCCCGCAAAGAUACAACAAUUCUUCUAGAUUCAUAAAGAUAUCUUCUUCCAAUUGAACCAAGCAAGACUUCUAGGUAUAUCCCUAUCCUAGAUGCUAAUUCAAACCCUUUAUUUCAUAAAAGAAUAAGAACUACGAUCCUUAAUUUCUUCGUUCUAUCCUACAAUUCUCCCCCCAGAUUCACAUAGAAAUAUAGAUUUAUUCUAAUGGUGGUCACUCAUCAAAAUAGUAAGCUCAAGAAAUUAAGAACAACCUAGAGGAUAGUCCAAAAAGAAACUACAAUAAAGAAUAUCAAAGAGUAAUUAUGUUCUUGGCUUUAACCCCAGAACCAGGGUGUUUAGCCACUCAUGUUUGAAUUCAACAUCCAAAAGAUAUAAUUCAUCAUACCAAGAAUAAAUCUUGAAGAAAAGAAGUUCAAAGAAAAACUAAAAACCCUAAAAGUGAUGUUUUUCUGCUUUUUCCGUUGCUGGUGUGUUUGCAAAAGUCCCCCAAAUUAUCUUGGACUUUUCCUUUUAUAGAUGGAAAAAAACUAAAAAUCAUCCCGAUUUUGCCUGACGGCACGUCACGCCAUGCCAUCAAAUGCCAUUUCCUUCCAAAAUCUGGUCAAUCACGGAAUUCAACUAUUUAGUGAAAUUAUGAAUACACUCUCACCGCACCGUGCCAUGAUCGCGGUGAGCCACUGGAUUUUGACAAUUGUGAAAUCUAUUUACUCCGCGAUGAGCUAAUCUUCCAGGUCACACAAAUUGGCAAAUGAGCUUGCACCGCGACGGGUGAAUUCGCGCCAAGUCACUGAAAAGUGACAACUAUGAUUUCCUUCAUCACCGCGACAUGUCACCAUCGCGGAUCAAUACUGGAUUCUGCCAAAUGGGAAAUUGCACCCCUCCGUGACGCACCAUAAUCAUGCUACUCCACCGGAAUUUGACCAACUCUAUUUUGUUUGUCAUCGCAACGCGGAGACUGUGCAAAUGUGAAUUUCUGACUUCCAGUUGCCUUUUUGAGCUAUAUUUCAAUGCCUUUUAUUCCUUCGAUCAUAACAUAUCAUCAAUGUAUCCAAUUACGUCAAAGUCACCAAGACUUUAUACCUGAAAGCACUAAUCAUAUCCAUUAGGUACGAAAUGGAAUUAAAGCUAAAUCACACUCAAUAAUUCACAUCAAAUUCCUCAAAACAAGUCCAAAUUUGAGUGCAUAUUGGUUCUUUGAACAUAUAAAUAUGCCCAAGAUCAAUAAUAUUCACUGUCACUCUAUUCAUAAUCAUCAGUCACCAUCACUAACCACUUCUUCCACGGCCACGUCAACCACCACCCAACACCACCACCCACCACCACCAUCACCACUACCAUCGACAACAAAUAUCGCUACCAACCACUAUUGGCAAUCGCUACCACACCUACUACCUCUAUUAUUUUAAUUAUAUUCACCGCCGCCGUUAACAACACCUCCAUCAUCAACCACUACAGGCCAAUCCUUACUAUCGACCAACUCAUCUAUCACAACUAGCACCACCUCUAACUACCACUAAUACAUCACAAGCUCCACACAUUCUUUGGCCUCCACCACCUUUGUCACUAAUAACGUCACUACCAUCACUUCACCCUUAACCAUUGCUACAAUUUGUCUCUACUAACAAACACCUCCACCAUCACAACUAACAUCUCCAGCUAGCACCAACACACUGUCAACCAUCAUGCAUUAAUUUUUUAGUCAUCACAAUCAACGUCUUCAACUACUAACAUUAAGCAACAUCACAUCACAACUACCACCACCACUAUCAACCGCCACCAUCAUAACAACCACUACAAUACCAACCAUCACAACUAUCACAUCCAACAUUACUAAUCAUUGACCUUAAAAUCAUUGUCACUGGAACCACUGUUAUAAACCAUCUCCACUAUCACUAACAAACAUAAAUAUUUUUUUCAAUCAAAUAAUAACUUUGUUGUAUUAAAUUAAGUACUUUUCUGAUAUAUAAUUACUUUUUAAUUUGAAUUGUAUUUUUUAUUUUUAUUAUAUAUACAAAUAAUUUUUUUUGAACAUUGAGAUGUUGAAAACAAACAAUCUUAAUCAUUCAAUUUUUUAGAUCUCGAGGCAACAUCUUAAUCAUUUAGAUGUGCAUUCCGAUUCAGACUUCAGAAUAUUAAAAAAAUCAAAUGCAGCCUUAGUCAAGAAGAUCUGAACUAAAAAUACACUGAAUACUAUACUGAGGCUGUGGGAUGUACAUCUAACCGACAUGCCCCAUUAUGAAAUAAUUAGGGUCCCACCUAUAACCUAGUUAGAAGGGUGUCAGUACCAUGACACGGUACUAACACUGGCUGUGUGAAUUCACAAUUCUGAUGUCCCGAAGGACUAGGGAGUCAGUCCUAAACUGGCGGGUGACCCCUAAGAUAGUUUCAGUCCUAAAUUGGUGGGUGACAUCUCAUAAUCCUACGCUGGCUACGUAAUUCAAGAACUUAGGGACUGCUUCUAAGGACCCAGUCCGAACUGACGGGUGAGCCCUCAUCCCUAGAUUUGCUCGGUGCUAAAUCAUACUCUCAACUGAACUGACACUAGUACUGGACUGAACUAAACUCAACUAAAUGUUAUUAUAUAACUGAUGGUGCUCAUCAUGAAUAUGAAUAUCUGAGUACACCGAUAAGAUUCAUGGAUUAACUGUCUGAAUACUUGAGAAGCUGAAUUUAUUUAAAUAGGUAUCAGGUAUUCAUAACACACCAGCACUGAAUGGAAUUAACAAUAGUGCCAUAUAAAAGCUUUAAAAUCAUACUAGGGGAUCAUUGUUCUAAACCCAACACUUAGGCAUUUCAUCGAACACACGAGAGUCAUGAACUUAAGCAUGGGAAUGGGAAAGCAUAAAGAAUAAUAUGAUUGCAAGACUAAAAUCAUAACUUAGAGAUUAAUCGUGAAGAUUACGAAAUUUAAAAUAUGUAAACGCUCAUUCCAUUGAAAACACUUAUAAAAUAAUUUAAUUAAUAAGAGAUUCAUGGAGAUAUUUCAAAUUAAACAUGGAAAACUCAUAAUUUAAAACCAAAAAGGGAUUCUUGGUCUCCAUGGGUGAAAGGAGCCUAUAGAUGAUAUGCCCAAGAUCAAUAAUAUUCACUGUCACUCUAUUCAUAAUCAUCAGUCACCAUCACUAACCACUUCUUCCACGGCCACGUCAACCACCACCCAACACCACCACCCACCACCACCAUCACCACUACCAUCGACAACAAAUAUCGCUACCAACCACUAUUGGCAAUCGCUACCACACCUACUACCUCUAUUAUUUUAAUUAUAUUCACCGCCGCCGUUAACAACACCUCCAUCAUCAACCACUACAGGCCAAUCCUUACUAUCGACCAACUCAUCUAUCACAACUAGCACCACCUCUAACUACCACUAAUACAUCACAAGCUCCACACAUUCUUUGGCCUCCACCACCUUUGUCACUAAUAACGUCACUACCAUCACUUCACCCUUAACCAUUGCUACAAUUUGUCUCUACUAACAAACACCUCCACCAUCACAACUAACAUCUCCAGCUAGCACCAACACACUGUCAACCAUCAUGCAUUAAUUUUUUAGUCAUCACAAUCAACGUCUUCAACUACUAACAUUAAGCAACAUCACAUCACAACUACCACCACCACUAUCAACCGCCACCAUCAUAACAACCACUACAAUACCAACCAUCACAACUAUCACAUCCAACAUUACUAAUCAUUGACCUUAAAAUCAUUGUCACUGGAACCACUGUUAUAAACCAUCUCCACUAUCACUAACAAACAUAAAUAUUUUUUUCAAUCAAAUAAUAACUUUGUUGUAUUAAAUUAAGUACUUUUCUGAUAUAUAAUUACUUUUUAAUUUGAAUUGUAUUUUUUAUUUUUAUUAUAUAUACAAAUAAUUUUUUUUGAACAUUGAGAUGUUGAAAACAAACAAUCUUAAUCAUUCAAUUUUUUAGAUCUCGAGGCAACAUCUUAAUCAUUUAGAUGUGCAUUCCGAUUCAGACUUCAGAAUAUUAAAAAAAUCAAAUGCAGCCUUAGUCAAGAAGAUCUGAACUAAAAAUACACUGAAUACUAUACUGAGGCUGUGGGAUGUACAUCUAACCGACAUGCCCCAUUAUGAAAUAAUUAGGGUCCCACCUAUAACCUAGUUAGAAGGGUGUCAGUACCAUGACACGGUACUAACACUGGCUGUGUGAAUUCACAAUUCUGAUGUCCCGAAGGACUAGGGAGUCAGUCCUAAACUGGCGGGUGACCCCUAAGAUAGUUUCAGUCCUAAAUUGGUGGGUGACAUCUCAUAAUCCUACGCUGGCUACGUAAUUCAAGAACUUAGGGACUGCUUCUAAGGACCCAGUCCGAACUGACGGGUGAGCCCUCAUCCCUAGAUUUGCUCGGUGCUAAAUCAUACUCUCAACUGAACUGACACUAGUACUGGACUGAACUAAACUCAACUAAAUGUUAUUAUAUAACUGAUGGUGCUCAUCAUGAAUAUGAAUAUCUGAGUACACCGAUAAGAUUCAUGGAUUAACUGUCUGAAUACUUGAGAAGCUGAAUUUAUUUAAAUAGGUAUCAGGUAUUCAUAACACACCAGCACUGAAUGGAAUUAACAAUAGUGCCAUAUAAAAGCUUUAAAAUCAUACUAGGGGAUCAUUGUUCUAAACCCAACACUUAGGCAUUUCAUCGAACACACGAGAGUCAUGAACUUAAGCAUGGGAAUGGGAAAGCAUAAAGAAUAAUAUGAUUGCAAGACUAAAAUCAUAACUUAGAGAUUAAUCGUGAAGAUUACGAAAUUUAAAAUAUGUAAACGCUCAUUCCAUUGAAAACACUUAUAAAAUAAUUUAAUUAAUAAGAGAUUCAUGGAGAUAUUUCAAAUUAAACAUGGAAAACUCAUAAUUUAAAACCAAAAAGGGAUUCUUGGUCUCCAUGGGUGAAAGGAGCCUAUAGAUGAACAUCAUACAUACCUUAAACAUUUAACUUGAAAGAUAAAUACCAAAUCUUGAUGCUUUCUUGGACUUGGGGAACUUGUAUCCUCAAUUUCUUGAGGAUAAAAGAAUUGAAUUUAUGUUCUUGGGGGAAGGGAAUGAUUUUUAUUGAGAGGAUAAUUGGAGAAGAAGGACAAAAUUAUGCCCUAAUUGAUGCCCAAGUCGUGUUAUGAACGAUUGGGUUGAGGUAAAAAGACCCAAUUGCACCUCAACCAUUUAAAUUCUAUACUGAACGUAAUAGGCUUAUCAUGAUGCGGUCCUAUCGUGGUCGUUUAUUUUUCUCAUCGCGAUGGGGUCUGCAUGGGAACGGGACUAAUGUCGCAUUGCGGGCUUAUCGCGGCAACCCACUGAUUUCGUGAUCCAAACAAGACCCAAACCCUUUCCGAAAAAUUCAAAACUUCUCUGAGACAUACUCCUUACAUCCCUCAAAAAUCAACAUAUCGAGGUCAGGAAUACCAAGUUAAAAAUCUUUUAAGUUUAGAAGCCUUAAAAAUGACUAAGUCCCCAACACUUAGUGAAAUUUUAAUGCCUUAAGCCCCUUAUGCAUGCAACUAGAAGCUGGACUGAGCUAAGAAUAGUACGGGGUAUUACAAUAUGCCAAUUCGAAUCCUCUAGCUAACAAAAUCCUCACCAACGUCACCUGCGUUCUCUGUAAAAACAAUAGCGAGGAGUGAGACACUAGCUUAGUGAGUAAUAACACUUAACCACAAAUCUUUUAAUGGGGAUAGUCGUAAAACAAGCUAGUAUGAUAACCAAAAAGUGUCAUGAAAUAAUACUCUUCCAGAAAACAACAACUUUAUAAGAAAUCAAUUUAAACUUUGGAAAUAGCCAACAAAUACUAACAUAUCAAGUUUUAUCCUACGAGAGAUUUUCAAGAAUGAAUCAUGUAUUCAAUGUGGCAUUCUACUUCAAGGAAUAAACAAUAUUCAUGAUUUUGGAUAAGCACAUGACCAUAAAUGUGCUAAAAUAACUGCAUCUCUUCAGAAAAGUUGUGACUGUUAAGAAUAGUUGCAUCUGUUCAGAAAAAUUGACACUGUUCAAACUUUAUAAAUAUGAAUGAAAAUCCAAAAAUAGUGUAUUCAAUUUACAAAUAUAUUUUCAGACUUUGUUGUAUCCUGAUAAAGAAUUGCUUGUAAUCCUUAAAUUAAAUACGGGCAAUAACUCUUGUCAGUUUCUUGAUAUUCGGUUAUCACAAAGUGUCAGGAUUUGUGAUACAUAAUUUGUAACUUCUGAAUGGUUUCUUGGCACCAUUAAGUGGUUGUAUUGCUGCCUUCUGUUGUUAUUUUAAAGUCCCAACUGCUAAAUAAAUAUGGAUUUAGACUUCUCUAAGUUUCUAUUUGUUGAAUGCAUGUAGGAAAAUACAUUUUUGACAAUCCCAUUGUGGAUGUUCUUCCAUUCGACUUUCAUUUAAUAGUUUGAUAAUCUAAUGUAGUCUAAAAAGUUUGAAAUAGCUUAAAUUUAAGCCUUGAUGAAUAUAUAAAUGAUUUUAGGGGGUUCGUUAUUUUGUAUCUAAUGUCAUUUAUUGCUUAGGGUGUGUUUGAUACGAAGAAAAGUACUUUUCACUAAAAAUAAGUGCGUUUAUUACUUAUUUUUUUAAAAUAAGCAGAAAAUAUUGGUUGAAAAAUAUUUUAUAUAAUUUAUGAAAAUACCGUGGAGAGGAGUGAGGAUAGGAGUGUGGAGAUGCUUGGAGAUGGAGGAUGGAUAUGUUGUAGGAUGAAGAGGAAAUAAUUAAUAUGGAAUACCACUUAUGUAACUUGCUCUCGUACUUUCGCGAGAGAGGUUAUUUUUCUCAUUUUAAGGGAAUUAUUUUUCUAGAGAAAAAUAUAAUCGACCAAAUAUAGGAAUAUUGAAAAAUGUAAAGUGAAAAAUAUUUUUCUCUAUGCCAAGACAACCUUAGGAGACGUUUGGUUGAGUGUAUAAGAAUAAGACAUAAUAUAUUGUAUUAGUAAUGCUUGCAUUAGUAAUGAUUGUACUAGUUGUGCUAGCAUUAGUUAUCCUGAUAUUGUUUCUUAUACAUUGUUUGGUUUGAUAUAUUAAAAAUAAUAUAUCUUACAGAAUUCCUAUAAAAAUGUUUGUUUACAAAAAUAUCCUUCGUUGACAUUGUACACUUUCUUCGCAACAAUGUUCUUUUUUCAUCUUAAACAUAAUUAGUAUUGUUGAACUAAUAUAUAGAGAUGUAGGAUUACUUGCAAGACCUUCGUUUUUGUGCAUGAAAUGUUACACCGAUGGAUUAAUAUAGUCGAAACAAAAAAAAUACAAGAUAUAGAAUCAAUGAAUAGUCUCAUGAAAUUUAUUUUCAAUCUUUUUAAAGGCCCUUGAAGAAAAAUAAAGAUAUAUUGUAUUUAUUUAAACCAACUAUCGUAAGCAUAAUCCAUACAUAAUUUAAAGUGCGGAAGAAAUAAUGAAAUUCAACUUGAUCUUAUGAUUAGAAUAUGUCAGUAAAGUUAUGAAAAUAAAAUACUUAAAUCCCAUCUACGAAGCCUCUACUGAAUACUAACUUUUAAGGAUGAAACAAGGCCACCGGCUGGACCAUAAACUGAAAAAAGUCAACAUAUGAAUAAAUACUCUCCAAAAAAUGGAUGGCGCACCAACUCUGUCAUUAUACCAAAUGUUCUACUGAUGUGAUGGACCAUGAGAUUGUGCCUUAGAACCUGAAUUAUAAGGUUCCAUACUUGAAAAGUAUUGGUAUGAAGAACAAUCCAAAAAUUGCGAAUAUUUCAUUUAAAAUAAUCGAGAGCAUUGUGAAAACGAUUUAGCAUAAUGACUAUAAAAACACAUGAGAAUAAUUCAAAGGCUUCAAAACAUUCUUGUAAAUCAUAGACUCAACUCUUUAAUUUACUUCUGAGCUAGAUUCUUGCGAAUACUUCUGAACAAUCCACUAAUUUGGAAAUCCAAACAUGACCCAAACCCCGUUCGAAAAAUUCAAAACUUCUCCAAGACAUACUCCGUACAUCCCUCAAAAACCAACAUCUCAAGUUUGGAAGACCAAGUUAAAAUUUUUUCAAGUUUAGAAGCCUUAAAAAUGACUAAGCUCCCAACACUUAGUGAAAUUUUAAGGCCUUAAGCCCCGUAUGCAUGCAACUAGAAGCUGAACUGAGCUAAGAAUAGUACGGGGUAUUACAGAAUAUGCCAAUUUGAAUCCUCUAGCUAGCAAAACCCUCAACAACGUCACUUACAUUUUCUGUAAAAACAAUAGUGAGGAGUGAGACUCUAGCUCAGUGAGUAAUAACACUUAACCACAAAUCUUUUAAUGGGGACAGCCAUAAAACAAGCUAGUAUGAUAACCAAAAAGUGUCAUGAAAUAAUACUCUUCCAGAAAACAGUAACAACUUCAUAAGAAAUCAAUUUAAACUUUCGAAAUAGCCAAUAAAUACUAACAUAUCAAGCUUUAUCCUAUGGGAGAUUUUCAAGAAUGAAUUAUGUAUUCAAUGUGGCAUUCUACUUCAAGGAAUAACCAAUGUUCAUGAUUUGGGUUGGUGCUGCUUCAAACAAGAUUUAUGGAGUUGAUGUUGUAAAUAUUCCUGAUUUUGGAUAAGCACAUGACCAUAAAUGUGCUAAAAUAAUUGCAUCUCUUCAGAAAAGUUGUGACUGUUAAGAAUAGUUGCAUCUGUUUAGAAAAAUUGAGAUUGUUCAAACUUCAUAAAUACGAAUGAAAUUCCAAAAAUAGUGUAUUCAAUUUACAAAUACAUUUUUAGGCUUUGUUGUAUCCUGAUAGAGAAUUGCUUGUAAUCCUUAAAGAAAAUAUGGGCAAUAACUCUUGUCAGUUUCUUGAUAUUCAGUUAUCACUAAGUGUUCGAAUUUGUGAUACAUAAUUUGUAACUUCUGAAUGGUUUAUUGGCACAACUAAGUGGUUGUAUUGCUUCCUUCUAUAGUUAUUUUAAGUCACAACCGCUAAAUAAAUAUGGAUAUGGACUUCUCUAAGUUUCUAUGUCAUGACCCGAACCGAGGCCCUGACUGUAAUGAGCAUCCUGAACCAUGAAGGCCCGCAUGCCCCUCUCUAUUUGGUAGUCAUGCACAACGUUCAUACAAUAAAAGAUGAUGUGGAACAAAAUAUAAUAUGGAAUCAUGGUCAUUCUGAAUUCAAUUUAAAGAUGAAAGGUAAAAUCUACAACAACUAAACAAUAUCUGAACCAGUCUGCGAAAUCUCUAAUAUAUGAUAAAAUGACAACUGUCGAAAAACUAGGACAAGCCCCCAGUAGACCAAAACCAUAAUAAAUAACAUAGUCUAAAAGAAUAGGCGUUCUGAAAUAAAGAAGGCUCACCACUGCACAAUCUACUUCUGUCUGAACACUUUACUGCUUAGUCGGACCGCUAGAUUGAGCUUCAGACCCUGAGAGAUAGGGGGGUCAAUACAAUUUUACUAGUACACAGAGCAAAUCCAAAAUAAUGAUUUUUAUUCAACAUAUAUGAGAGCAAUUUAAAUCAGUUCAUAAAUAUGUCACAUGGUAAGAAUCACAUGGACAUUUUUAAAAGACUCUAUAAAAUCAUCUGAACUCUGUGACAUUUUUAUAUGGUAUUGUCAUACCAUUAACUUGCAAGUCACAUUCUCUGAGCAAUUUAUAGCAAAUUAUAUCUCUAUCCUCAAAACAUGGAAUUCAGGACCACCACAUCAAUAAUUCUUUUUAAGAAACUCAUUCUUUAAAGGUCAUGUAAACCUAUACAAGAAAACUCUCAUUUUCAACAUUUCAAACACACAAGGUGGUCAUGUCAAAGAUAUCAAUCACAUGCUAUUCUUUCUCUUUAAUACAAGAAUGAAAUCAUAUCAAGAAACUCCCUCCCAUCAUCAUCAAGAUCAUGUUAAUUACUUUAAUAUUGAUAAGAUCAUUUUCAAAGCCUUAAACAUGCAUCUCAAAUCAUUCUCAACAGUUUCAUAAACUCUAAAUCACCAAAGAGAGGGAUUUCAAUGAUAAUGCUCUCACUCAAAUCUUUAAUAUCAUACAUAUACAUAUAGAAGUAAAUCAAUUUUAAGGGGGAAAAGCCUAAAGGCCAAAACAAUAAAAUUAUCAAAACAUUCAUAAUGCGAAAUUUAAAGCGUAAGUUCCAAAACCCCUUUCAAAUUCAUGCUAGAUAAUCUUUAAAUUAUUUUCUAGUGUUUAUAAGCCCAUGUAGUUUUUAGGAUAAACUCCACGUACCUCAAAUUAGGAUUUUGAUGGAUGAUUCUUGAAGUCCUCGGUUUGGGGAUUCUAAAUCUUCAAUCAAUUUCUAAAACCGACGGUGGAAUCUUAAGUUAUUUGGAAUUUUAGUUUGAAACCCUAAGGGGUGUUCUUGAUGGAUUUUCAUGAAAAUAUCAAUAGAGUGGUGUUUUGGGAGUAUAAUUCCGUGUUUAAGCUGAAGAAGGGGGGGUGGAAGUACCCAAUUUGCCCUCAAAAACAUUUCUAAAAACUACAGGCUGAAGGGGGAGCAUGCGCCGCACGCUGUAGUGCACCGAGAUGGAGCGUGUGUCGCAUGCUCUAUCGCACACUGCCCACCAUAGGAAUGGAGCAUGAAUCUCACGUAAAUUGCACGAUGCUACUAUUUUGGGGUACCAAACACGCCAUUACGCUCGUCCAAAAAAUCCAAAACUUACCCGUGAUGUACCCUUGACACCCCCGGUCAUGAAUCAACUCACAAAUUGUUAUUCUAAGGCCAGGAAGGUCGAGAAAAAAAUCAUCAAAGAUUAAAGGCUCAAAAUGAGACUAAGUGUUUUUGAUACUUAGAAAAAUAUUCUAGUUUUCAACUCUACGUGCAUACUACUAGGAGCUAACACAUGUACGACUUUUGCGGGGUGUUACAUUAUCCCCCCUUGGGAGAAUUCGUCCCCGAAUGAUGACGUGGAACACAGACAAUCAUGAUUUCAAGCAUACCAAGGCCAUAAAUGAAUAAGACAAAGAUUGUACCUUCUGCUUCUUCGUUCACCGGAUCGAAAAGGUUUGGGUAUCUUUAUCGCAUGUCAUCUUCUGAUUCCCAAGUAGUUUCUUUAAUUUUCUGGUUUUUCCAUAACACUUUAACCGAGGUUAUCUCCUUGCUCCUCAAUUUCCUAACUUGGUGAUCCAGGAUUGCAACCGGCUGUUCUUCAUAAGAUAAAGAGUCUUUUACUUUGAUCUCCUCUACAGGCAACACUAAAGAAUAGUCUCCAAUACAUUUCUUCUACAUAGAUAUAUGAAAUACUGGAUGAACAGUACCCAGAUUUGUAGGCAACUCUAACUCAUACGCAACCCCACCUAUCCUUCUUAAAAUCUGGUAUGGCCCUAUAUAGCGAGGACUCAACUUUUCUUUCUUCCCGAAACGCAUGACUCCCUUCAUAGGAGAAACUUUGAGAAAUUCCCCACCACCAACCUCAAAUUCUAUCUCCCUUCUUCUAACAUCAGCAUAGGACUUCUGUCAACUCCGGACUGUCUUAAGUCGUUCUCUAAUGAUUUUCGCCUUCUCCAUCGCCUGAUAAAUAAGAUUAGCCCCAAACAACUGUGUCGCACCUACUUCAUACCACCCUAUUGGCAACCUACAUCUUCUCCCAUAUAAUGCCUCAAACGGAGCCAUUUUUAAUACUGGCAUGGUAGCUAUUAUUAUAUGCUAACUCUAUCAAUGGAAAGUGAUCUACCCAGCUACCUUUGAAGCCAAUUACACAGGCCCUCAAUAUAUCCUCAAGUUUCUAAAUAGUGUGCUCGACUUGCCCAUCGGUCUAAGGGUGAAACACAGUACUUAGGUUCACUUGGUUACCUAUACCCCUUUGGAAAGACCACCAAAACUAUGAAGAGAAUUACGUACCUCGGUCAGAUAUGAUGGAUACAGGUGCCCCAUGCAGGCAAACUAUUUUAUCAAUAUACAGCUUAGCAUAAUCAUCUUCCGAAUAGUUAGUCCUGACAGGUAGAAAGUAAGCUGACUUGGUAAACCAAUCCACAAUCACCCAGAUAGAAUUACACUAGUUUCGGGACCUUGGAAGUCCCGUAAUAAAGUCCAUAUUGAUCAUCUCCCACUUCCAUAAAGGCAAAGCUAUCUCUUAGGAAGUACCACCUGGUCUCAUAUGUUCUACUUUAACUUGUUGGCAGUUCAAACACUUGGAAACAAAGUUAGCCCAUCACGUUUCAUAUUAUUCCACCAGUAUAUAGUUUUUAGAUCAUGAUACAUAUAACAACUCGUACUUUCGGGCUAAAAUCUAGACCCUCGUUCCUACGCGUUAGACCUGAAAAAGAUGAUUCCUUGUUUAUUAUAUAUAUGUGGUGAUCAAUCCUAUAGUGUGGGAAAACCUUUGAAUAUGACUUGAGGUCACAAACAUCUCCUAACUCUAAGACGAGUUGAAAACAUUUCUACUGAUUAAGUUUUGGGGGAUGUUUAAACUUGGGUCAAAUUCCAUUGACCAUAAAUUCUGGUAUAUGAUGAAUUAGAGAGCCUACUAUAUAUCAAAUGAAAGGUCUUCGAAGUAACUUUCCAACGAUACCAAUUUUGCCCAAAUCUGAUACCCGGGAAAAAAUUUUCAACCAUGCUCGUGAGAGAGGCAGUAGCUGCACGCGAUUAGCGUGCGACACACACUCUGUCGCACGCCCCAAAUUUCCAGUUUCUAUUUUCGCAUUUUAAAGGAAAAUUUGGACCUUUGCUUCACCCUAACCCGUCCAUAACAUAAAAUAUCCUCCCUAAGGAGCAUUAGACAACAGUUUAUUCAAGUUUCUCUCAAACUAAAACCCUAGCCACCUCCAUCAAGAAUUCAUCCUUCUAAGUUAAGAUCUUCAAGAAGAGUUUCAAGAAUAGGGUUCCAAUCUUUAAAUAAAAAAACUUAAGGUAUGUGGGACUUCUCUAGACAUCAUGGACAUAGUUUUUCUAUUGUCUUAAUUAUGUUAAAGAUCCCCAAUUAUAUUUACAAAGAAAGGGUUUGGAAUUACUUGAAAAACACAUGACACGGAAUUGUUUUGAAGGAAAUGCAUCUUGUCUUGAAUUGUCUAUCACGAAUUUUGAAUACAACUAUAUAUCUAUGUUUUGGGGUGCAAUGAAAAGUUUGAAAGAGCACAUGAAAGAUCAAAAAUCCCUCUUUAUUAUGAUAUUUUUGGAUUUAUAUUGUUAUGGAUUGUUUAAAGGCAUGAACUUUUCGAGAUGGAAACUAAAUGGUAAAUACUUGUUCAAUGAUCAUAGAUUUGUACCAUUUAUGAUAUGUCAAGAGGUUGUUUUCACAUGGUAAAUGUUCAUUGUGUCAAAUUAACAUUUUUCCUUGAAUUUUAAAUAACACGAAUGUGAGAUGGACGCCUAUUGUUUGUAUAAAUGAGAGUAGAGUGUUUUGAUGAAAACGUGAAUGAAAGAUCUUAUGCAUAUCUCUCUCUCACUUGAUGUUUUAAAAGUUAUGGGUGGUCAUUAACAUGGUAAUACGUGAAAAAGGCUACAGAUUGAUAAGAUGUGAUUUGAUUGACUUGCAUGUUAGGGUAUGACGAUAUCCGGUGAUUACAUGCCCUUAACAAGAUAAAUAUUGAAUGUUUUGAACGUAUGAAACAUGUUUGUUUUAAAAGAACUAAAAGUUGGGCUUAAGAGAGUUAGAUGGUUACCCGAAGAAAGCACGAGUCAGAUGACUCUAUGCCAAAAAUUGUGAAUUUCCAACACGGGAACUUGGUACCCUUCUAUGUUAUCUUGUGUACCUAGUACUUUGUCAUCCCAAAUUGGGACUUAUGGUUUGGAGACCUGCUUUGUGAUCUUGAGGCCAACCACGACAUAAUGACUUGAUUGGAAUUGUGGCACCCUGCUGUGUGAUCUUGUGUGUUCUUUCCUCACUAGCACUUCAAUAUUGGCGGCAACCGAGAUUUGAUAGUCGGUGAAAAAAGUGAAAUUGUAGGGUGCACCAUCUAGCUCUGAAGAAUAACAAUGAGUGAGUCAAGGUUGUCAAGAACUGUUUUGAAAUUAUUAAAUAUGCCCAUGUAUUUUUACUUAUAUAAAACUCUUUGUUACUAUGAAUUGCUCUCAUCUAUUUUGUAUAAAAGCAUAUUAUUUUGAGUUGUUUCACAUACCGGUACAUCUAUAUUGAUCCCCCUUACAUUUCAGGAUCUGAGGCACAGUCCUAGGGUCCAGCUAAUCAAUAGAUUGAAUUGUCUGAAGUUUGCAAUGGGUGAACCUUCUUUAUUUCGGAAGGCCGAUUUUUGAUAUUAUUGUUUCCUUUCGGAUUUUUGGUUCGGCUGGGGGCCUUGUCCCAGUUUUAGUUAUUGGUCUUGAUGUACUAGAGAUUUCGUAAAUAGAUGUUAGAUGAUGUUUAGGGUUUAUUGAUUUCUUUCGACUGUUCAGUCAUAUGAUGUUAUUGAUCAUGUUUCCGUAUGAAUCCAUUUCCUCAUUCUCUUUUUGAUUGUAUGAAUGUGUGUAUGAUUUCCUGUUAACAAAGGGGAGCUCGGGCCUUCACGGCUCGGGAUGCUUGUUGUUGACACCUAAUUUUUGCCCUCCACAUUCAAAUUAGUUUUCGAAUUUCUCAAUUUUAAAUAGUUUUAAAAUAUUUUUUUAAGUUAUUUUUAAAUAAAUUUCAACCCUACCCUUUUGAAUUUAAGUGAAAUAAUAUAUUUAGUAAUUAUCAGUUAAAGAAAAUUCUUUGAAAUUUAUUCAAAGUGAAAAGUUUGAUUAAAUUGUAAAAUAUUCUACUUUUCUUUAAAAUUGAUUAAAAAAAUAAGAAAUUGAUGACCUAAUUGGUUUCUUAAUUUUAUUUUAUUUAAUGUUUACUUUGAAAUUAUUAAAUUUGAGAAAUUCAUCAAAUUAAUUAGGAAUUAAUUUUGUGUGAACUUUAUUGAAAUAGCUAUGAUUUUAAUGAGGCCUAUUAAUUGUUGUUUCAUCUUAAGCCUAAUAGCCCCUUUCUUUCUUUUUAAAAUUGGGUCAGCCAACCAAACCAGCCCAUUCUUUCUCUUCUUUUAUCCAACCAAGUGAGCAACCCACCACCAGCCCAUAACAACUUCAACAGCAACCAGCCCAGCACCACACAAGGGAUUCGGACCAAUACCCUUAUAACAUUAAAAGUACAAAAGCUGUAACUUUCAGCAACACAACAUCCGGUGGUGGAAACCUCAUCAUUAUAGGCUCGUCGUCCCAUUCGCUGCUCCAAAAAAGGUAAAAACUCAUCUUUCUUACACUUUUUUUUUUUUUACGUGUAAAUAAAACUAAAGAUAUCAUUUUAAUUUGUCGUUGGACAUAAAUGGGACUAGUUUCAAUGUUACUGUUGUGUUUACUUUUGUAUUAAAAAAAAAGUUUCCAGCUUUUUGCAUUUGUAUUCUAGAAAAGAAUUAGAGAACAACAUAUAUGUAUACAUCUUUCAACAUAAUUUUUUGUUUGGGUUGGUUUCAUAUUGAUCAUGUUUGACUAAACGGUUAAUUUUUUUUUUUUCUUUGAAUGGAUUGCUGGUUUCCCAUUAAAUUGUUAGUGCCAUUUUUAAUUUUUUUUUUUUUUUUUUUUUGUAAACACAUGAUUCAUGCCGUAUGGGUUGAUUAUUAUGGUUUUUCUAAGUUGGCUUUUGAUAUAUUAUUUGCUCGUCAUGUCGUAUUAUUAGACGCGUACUAAUCCUUAUUUUACCUUUUCUAUGCAUGAACUCCGCCGUAUACUUUCCUUUGCAUCUCCGGGACCAAGUCCCAUUCCUACGAGUCAAAAUCCCACGCCAAAGUGCUAGAACGGAACUGAACCACGAUGGUAUACAGACAAUAUACAUUGGAAGCGGCAGCUGUUCAUUAUUAAACCGUACACAGUAAAAAAUGGAGGGGAAAUAAGCAGAUUUUCAGGCUGAUAUACACUUGAUAUACAAGAAAAACGUGUAGGAAUACAUAUGGUAUACACUUCAGAAAAUGGACUGAAGUCCAUAAUUCAAGCCCAAAACUGGGCAGCUUCAUUAAUGGGCCAAUUGAGGGCCCAAUUUUAAUUCUUGCAUCAUUUUUUGUAACUUGUAUUGUUUAUUUGUGCUAACUAACAUAUUAAAUUAUUAAUCUAGAUAAAUCUCCUAAGUCGUUACCAUUUUUAUCACGUAUUUUAUUCGAAUCGUGAUUUUCUCACUUAAUAUAACUAAAUAAUCUAUUUGAAUGAAAAAUAACUCCUUUUAAACUCAAGAAACUAAAUUUUCUUAUAAAUUUGAACUUGUAAUAAUUAAUAAAGAUUUUUUUUUAUUCAACACGCUCUUAACAUUUUUUGAAGGUAUUGUCUCUAAUAUAAUCAAAUCUUUUUUCUAUAAUGAUUAAUAAUAAGAAAAAAUAAAAUAAUAUAUAAUUUAGUCCAAUUCAAAUAAAUUUAUUUUCUUCUUUGAAUAAUAAAUGUCAUGUUUUAAAUAAAUAAUAUUAUUAUUUUCUAUAAAAUCAAGUGUUUACAAAUAUUUACCUUUUUGCAAAAUUAGCCAUUUUUAGUUAGUUAGUUCUUCUUUGGUACACCGUUUUAAACGGACGCUUCUAAGUGCCUUAAAAACCUUCUUAGGGCGUUAAUUGAACCCUUAUCCAGAAUCUCUAGUUUUAAAGGUUUAUUUCUGUUUUUGAACCUGUUAAACUAUUUUAAGUUUUUUCUUGAUUUUUUCUAUAAAAAUUAAGUGGCGGCUCUGUGAAUUUUCUUAAAAUUAUUUCGAAAUUUCUCAACUAUUUUUCAAAAUAGUUUUAAGAAUAACAAUCAUUUUCUCGCCAAAAUGAAGUCUGAAAAGGGAUAAAACAUUCGUCACGGCCAAGGCCUGGUUCGGGUCGUGACAAACUUGGUAUCAGAGCAUGGUUCAUGGUCCUAGAGUGUCUGCGAAAUUGCAUCGGGUAGAGUCUUGUUUAUGGGUGUGUAGCACACUACACUUAUAAACAAGAGACUACUAGGCGUUUAGGAAUGUCUCUCUUUCUUCAUGUUUUAGUUCGUGCUAUGGAGUCAGAAUGUUCCUCUUUCAUACUUUAGUUCGUGCUAUGGUGUCGCCCAUAUGGAAGUAAAGUUAUCCCAAUUCUUUCCUUACUCUGAUGUUCUCAGAUAUGCCUCAUUGUUGAGGUAAUUCAAGUGCAGAAGUCUAGAAUCUGAAUGGCAUGGUCCUUUCUGAUUGAGCCAUAAAAGAUUAUAACAUUGUGCAAGGACUUGAGAGGAGUCUGUUAGUACUUCAGGGUGUAUUGAUUCUAGUGUAAAUUUUGAUCCUGAUGAAUUCGUACUUUUCAGCCUGAGGUAUUAAGUGUAUCCAGUCCCUUUCAAAAUCUUAUUGCAGGAAAUGUUGUGUACUAGAGUGUUGGAACUGUAUUUUCACCCGAGUAGUAGUGUAUGUUAAAGUGUCAUGACCCAAUGGUAGUGAGAUGGUCCAGAAGUUGGUGACAUGCAGUCACAAUGUUAGAAGUCAGAGUGAGGGUGACUUUUUCGUAAAUAAAUAAUUUUAAUUGUAUAAUCGUGGAUUGAGGAGUGGGUUGCCAUUGUAUAGUAAUAGACUAAUGUGGUAUAAUGAUAGAAUAGUUUUGAACGAUAUUUCUAGAUUGUAUGGUUGUCUGGGAAGGAAGUGGCUAGCUAUUAUUAUUAUCUAUUCGAAUUAGGGAAGGAGCCUAGAAUGAAGAGUUAUGGUGGUUAUAGAAAUUCCUUAUAGGCUGUGAAUGAAAACGAUUAGAUUAGCCAAUAAGUAUAAGUAUAGACUUAUUGUUGUAUGUGAAAUUUGAAGGUAGUCUAAAUGUGUGCAUGGGUAAGUAGAUUUAACGUGAAGAAGUAGAAUAUGUUGAUAAGAUUGCAAUAGGUUAUAUUAUAUGAUUAAGAUUGACUAUCCCUAUUAUGUGGUGUUAACCCCCCUGAUUGUUCUUUCUUUAGUCGUUGUAAACUAGUACUCUAUGUGAGAAGUAUGUAGCAGGUUUUGAGGUGUCAUAGUGAUGUCAUGGAGGGGAUGUGAAUGUAGGUAGUAAUUAAGUAAAAUGAGGUAUUUGGUUGAUUUUCCCAAUUUGAUAGACUAGUAUAUUAUGUUACAUGCUUCAUUGGUGGUAGAUGAUUGAUACCAGAUGAUAGGCUUGAAUUUUAGAUGUAGAAUGUGGUGGUAAGAAUAGUAGCUUAAGAUUUAUGAUGUAUCUUUUGUGGGGAUGAAUUAUUAGGCUUGAUGUGAUUUAUGAAAAAGCCUAGGUUGAUAACUUAUGAAAAGUUUAAGAGAUAAUUGUGAGGUAUAUAUGUAUAUGAGGAUUAAUGUUAAAAUGAUGAAUUGCAGGUGAGACAUUAAGUGGAUAAGGGCUCAAGUAUAUAAGAAAAAGUUGCACCCCCGUGUAGUAUGGCGUUAGGUAAGAUUUUAUGAUAUAAGUUAUGCGAUUAACAGUCUAAUGUUAGAAGGUUAAGUAGUGGCGAGUGGAUUUUUAUGUGAUAAGGAGUGAGGAAGUGUAUGUAUGCUCAUGAGACUGCGAGUUGUAGGUUGAUGACGAUUGAGGAUAGAAAAAUUUAAGAGUAGCGUUCUGGGAAAUCAAUGCCUUUAGAGUAUACGUUAAGUAGCCAUAACGCCCUGUAGUUUUCUUGAUUUGAUGUCACUUGGUAGCAUUCUUAAAGAUGCUGAAAACUUGAAUGAUGUCUUCCUUCCUAAGUGUUAAAGAAUAAGAACUUAGUCACAUUUUGAGCUCCUAAUCUUUGAUAAUUUUAUGUCCGAUCUUCCCAGUCUUAGAAUGAUGAUUUGUGAGUUGAUUCAUGAUCGGGGGUGUCAAGGGUACAUCCCGGGUAAGUUUCAAAAUUUUUGGAUGAGAGUAAGGGAAUGUUUGGUAGCCCAAAACAGUACCAUUAUGCGAUUUGCGCGCGGCGCAUGCUCCAGUCCACUGAUGGGUAGCGUACGAUGAAGUAUGCAGUGCACGCUCCAUUUCGGGGUUUUACACCGCGCGAUGCACGCUCCCCUACGGCCUUUAGCUUUUAGUUACAUUUUGCAGGGGCAUUUGGGUCAAUUCUACCCAUAUUAAUUCAGCCUAAACACCGAAUUUGAGUCUCAAAACAACACUUUAGCUCCCAAAUUCACAUUCUCCCCAAAUUGAAAUCAUCCUCCCUUUCCAAGAAAAAAAACCCUAACUCUUAAAUGUUUAGAAGUGUGGAUAUCCAUGCCUGUAAUGAUGUUAGUCAUGAGUGGAUGAUUUUGGGGUUAGAGGAAGUUAUGAUUAGUAUUCCUGAAGGGGGAUAUCCAGAAAGAAUUAAGUGUCGAUAUGUUAAAUUAUUGAGGGAAGUUUGUGUUCAUGUGUAUACCGAUAUCCCCCAUUGUAUUGAGAAUUGUACUUAGAGGUUGAUAAGAAGUUAUGCUCUCAAGUCUAGGAUUGUGACUUUAAUAUAAGGGGGAGAUGGUAAGUUAAGGUAGUUUUCGAAUUUUCUCAUUGUGGCAAGUUAGGGAAGAGUCAUGAUAAACCUGUUGCUAUUCAAGCAUGUUCCUUCUACUUCAGUUUAAGAGUCCAUUAUACAAAUGUCUUAUGUAUUUAAGUCCUGCCGAUGUCUAAGGUUUGAGUUCUCUAUGCAAGUCAUGUCAUAUUCCGACUUCCAAACUAGAAGCAAUUAUGUCUCAUAGUAAUUCAGUCUUUCAUGUAUUCAAGUCUCAUGUUAUGUUGUUCGUGAUCCAUGAAAAUCUAUGUCUCUCAGCAUGUUUGGUCUUAAGAAAAUGUGUUUCUGUAUGUUGCAGAAUCAUUUUUUUUUUUGCUAAAAUUGGCCAAGGUGAUAAAGUUUAUACUAACUCUUGGAAAAUUUCAGCUCUUUGAAUGAGGAGGAAUCACACUAAGUGAAAUUCGUAUCUUAGUUAUUAACGACAUAAAUUUCGGCUUUAUGCCAUAUAGGUUAUGAUAUGUGCAUCCAUGUUUCUCACCGUAGCCUGUCUUAAGAAAUAAGGUUGUGUGUGGGUAUGCUGAGUGACUCUUUACUUAUGAUUCAGACACCUGAUAUCCAAAGCACUCCAUCUCUAUUCUAUUGUAUAUUCACUUCAUUUCCCUCCUUGAGUAGUGCAACAAGUAUAACCUAUGGUUUGAUAAGUUUUACUUUCAUUCAUGAUGAUUGUGCUCGGGUCCCUCAAUGACCCUCCGUAUAUUAGUUUGAUGGUGGUUGUGGAAGCGUAGUAAUGUGUUAGGUAGGGGAGUAUGUGUUCUUGAAGGUGAAAAUCUUAAGGUGAUUUCUUGAGCCAAGGUUAACGGUGAGAGGGAAGAAGGAGGCGAGGUCUCGUUAUGUGAAAUAGUUAGGAGGGAAGUAUAAGACGAGAAUCUUUAUGAGAAUGAUUGAAUUUGCUGGUCUUAGUGGAGAAGUGCAUGGAGUGGGGUAUAGUAAUGAUAGGCUUGAAUUUUUGUGUUUGGUGAAGAAAUAGACCAAUAUGCCAUAUUGUUAGUAUCCCAUGAAUUAAGACCUGAGGUUGUGGGAUUAUAGUGAUGAGGUGAGUUAGUUUCCUAAUGUGAUGUAGAGUACAGGGUCACGUAGUUUAAGUUAGCACCUAUUUCCUUUGAGUUGGGUUUCAGCAUAGAAGUAAUAUACAACAAGACACAGUUCUUGUGGUUAGAUGUGUUAUGGGAGAAUUGUAAGUUGGAUAUGAUGAAGUAUAUUGAGUAAUGUUGGGGCAUAGAUGAAUAGUGUCUCUAAACUUAAGGUCUAUUCGUUGUAUUUUGUAAGGUGAAAAAUGCUUCUAAAUCCUGUCUCCCACGAAAUCUCAUGAUUAGUACCAAUUAUAGACACAUAAUUUUGUCCCUCCCCGAAAGCAUUUUAACCAUUUUUACUCUCGCCUUACCACGUACCCUCACCCAUGUGAUUACAUCCCAUAAAAAUACCAAAAAUAAUAAUCCUAUCCUAUCCAACUUUACACCUCAUCCUAACAACCUACCCCACCCCAUACCCCUACCCACCUACCCACGUACCCCUCCCCUUUAUGUUUUUCAUUUGGUUAUCCUAUAAGAGAACAAAAAAUAAAAGGGGACCACCACAUUCACUCAGAAGGGGCGAAAAAAAAGGGAAGACACCCAACUGGCUCCACUGAUUUCUUUACCAACAAGAAUAUAUAAUUGAACACAAUACAGAAAAGGAAGGAGGGCAACAUCAUCUUCUCCAUUUUCCUCUCACAUACACAUACCAACACACACAGAUGCCAUUGAAUACCCUAUUUUUCUUCUCCUUGAUUUUCCAUUGUCACACACCCAUAGAGACACCAUUUUUCUCUCUUUUGUUCUUCCUUUUGAAAUACACGUAACCAUAUAAAGUAAAUCGCGCACACACACGCAUUGAGCAAAAAAUCAAAACAAAAAUAAAGAGGAUUUGAGGGUUUUGAUUGUUUUUUCUUUAGUUUUUCUGGUGAAAUCUCGCCGGAAUAGUCGUCAAGCUCAUCGUCUCAACCUACUCAGCCCCAAAACCCCUCAAUAUUCUCUUUUCUUCUCGAUUUCUGGAUAGGAUUGCACUGGAAUCAACAUCCAUCGUGAGUUGGAUUAAAAUCAGUUCCAAGUCCGUUCCCGUCGUUGAUUGAGUCAGUACAAGUGUUGGUUAUUGUAGUCAGUUUUGGGUUGCUUGUUUAUCGAUAUCAAGUUGGGAUUUUGUCGUUGUUGAGGUUUCCUAUUCGGGCUUUUGGAUUCGGACUUUUUUUAACUCGUAUCAUCAACGAAAGUCAUAUUGGAAGGUCCAAUUCUACCCUCUCUCCUUCUAAUUCUUACGUGAUUAUGAAUAAUUUGUGUAUUUGCAUGUUUGAAUCCCCGUUGGUUGUUUGCUUGAUAUUGAAUUUGGAGGAGAAAACUUGAUUGAUGAAUUGCGUAUAGAAUUAGUUUGAUCAUGUUGUUAACAAUGGAUUUGGGGGUGAGAAUUGAAAAUUUGAUAUAAUUGGUGAUUUUGGUUAGUUUGAUUUAAUUGUUUGUUUAACUUGAAAUGACCGUUAAUUGAACUUGGUAGUAUCAUGAUACGCCAAUUGAUUUAGGCAAACGUAGGUUGGGUAGGCAAAGUUUAGAAUUUGUGAUUUUGUUGAAUAUUUGAAAUUUGGGUGAAUAAUUUGGUUUUCUCGCAUUGAAAAAUUAUACUUAUUUGAUCGGAAAAUGCCCCGAGGUAUUUGUAUUGACUUAUUCGGGGAAUGCCCCGAAGUAUUUUGUACUCGGAGGACAUUCGUGAUGAAGGCCCAAGGCAUCGGGUAAAACGUCGGAGCAUAGUUUAGAAUAGGAUUUAUAUUUUUUUUGCAUUUUUCUAUUCUUGGAUUGUAAUAAUUGGACUGGACACUAUAAUUUUAGAUUUUUUUGUUUGUUUGAUUGAUUAGUUUGUAUGUUUUUGUGUGGUUUAUACACUUUUAGUGUCGAAUUAGCCGAUAUGCUCCACCAAGCGACUGUGGUUGAACCACGGGAUCGAGGGGUGCCUAACACCUUCCCCACGAUCAACAGAAUUCCUUAGUCGGAAUCUCUAUUUGCGGAUCAGUUUUAGAGUAAAACUAUUUUGAAAAGGAUUUUCAAAGGUGACUUGGCACCCGAUUUAUGCCAAGUGGCGACUCUGAGUUAAUUGUAAAAUGAAUCCUUUUCGGAACAAAUUUUCUAAUCCUUUUCGGAACAAAUUUUCUUCUUUUGUCACUUUAAUAAUAAAAACCCUUUCGAACCUUAAAAUUGAAUCUUAUUUGGUUAAAAAUGAGGUGUGACAACUCUGGCGACUCCGCUGGGGAUCUUUCAGAAUUUGAGUUUAUUUUGGAGUUGUAUCGGCUUAAUUUGACACUAUAGGUGUAUAGACAUUUUGUUGGUGUGGUUUUGUGUUAUUGUUUUAUCAUUGUUGAGUGCCUAAGUGCUCUUUGUUUACAGUUUUUACUUUAUGUGUUACCAUUUUAUAUCUGGCAUCAUGUGCAUAACCCGAGUAAUUUUUUCUGCAAUUAGUCCGUAGUACAUGUGUGUACACGACCUAUAGUUGAGUCACCCUUAUUUUAGGAGGGGGAGCCAUUGGUUUGUAUGGAGUAGGUCGAAAGCUGUCGCAGCCACUAUCGACCAUACGCUCCCCCGAACAGCUUUGUUAGUGAACCUCAGUGUAGGUCAGCCUUUAGGUCAUGCUUAUGUGCAUCAUAUUGAGACCUAGCGGGACCCACUUGGUCCUUCGUAGGAGACUCACCUCUAAAGCAUCCCUAUGUGCUAAAUGUUGCAUCUUUGAGGGUAACGAGGUCAUUUGACAGACUGUUUUGGGCAAAAGCAUGUUCUAGAAUUAAAGGAAGUGUGUAGAUAAGGAAAAGUUUGAAAAAAAGGAGAAAAAGAGAAAAGGUGAAUAAAAAAAAAGGAAUUUCGUAGUUUUUUUUAGAGUUUUUUUUAUGGAUUUUGUUCUUCACAAUCCAAAAAUUCAGAAAAGAUUUUUAUCUUUUGCACUCAUUUCUCAGAAAAUAAAAACAUCAAAAAGAUUUUUCCUUUAUCUCGUUUAGCAUGUAUUCACAAUUCAAAAACUUCAAAAAGAUUUUUCAUUCAUAGGAGUUUUUAUAAAAGAAAAAUGCAAAAAAAUUGUAGGAGUUUUGUACAUUUCAUGAAAAUACCAAUUUUUUUUUCUUUCAUUGUUGUUGGUGUCAUUUUUAUGUGAAGUGUCAAAUUAAAUCUCAAAAAUAUUUUAUUGACGUUUUGCAUCUUUUGUUUAUGCUCGUGUCUCUCAAGUAAGGGUGUUGGUUAUUUAAUCCUUAAUUGUCCAAUCUGGACGAACUACGCACCCCUGAUUCUCCUCUCUCUGGAGUGAGAUACGUAGGCAGCCUAUUGUUGGUUCGGGGAUCUUAUUUAAAAAAUAUAUAAAAAAUUUUUUUCUUCUCCUCAUUUAGAGUAGGUGUUUCAUAUAUGCCUUGAAAAGAAAAAUACAAAAAGAUUUUCCUUAAUAGUUGUAGGUUUCAUUUUUGGUGGAUCUUAUUUAAAAAAAAAUUCAAAAAGAUUUUCUUCACUCUUCACUUAGAGUAGGUGUUUCAUAUACAUAUUUAAAAGAAAACCACAAAAAAGAUUUCCUUUAAUAGGUUCAAGUUUCAUUUUCAUAUGAAAUUCAAAAUCGAAAACCUAAAAAGAUUUUUUCUUUGGUAAUUAUAAGUUUCAUUUCAUAUUAGAAGUUGAAAAAUUCAAAAAAAGAUUUUCGUCGAUUCUUUUGACAAUUUUAUUUUUCUUUUCUUAUUAAAGUUUCAAGAAAAAGAAAGAAGAAUGGAAAAAGAGUUUAAUUGACCAUUUUGGCAAGACUUCAUGAACUACACAUACCUGAUUCUCCCCUUUCAGGGGGUGAGACACGUAGGCGCCCUUAUAGGGUUCGGUGAUCUUUUCAAGAAAAAAAAGAGGUUUUGAAAAAUUGUUGAACUCUAAUGCAUUUUCUAUCUCUUGUCCAGUUAGUUUAAGGUGGUUGGUUUGUGGCAUUGUGGUUGGUCCUUAAUAUUGCUCCAAGUCACAGAGAAAGUUAUGGCCAACAAGGAUACCGAGUUAGUUGUCACUAAUCAGAUAGGGAGUUCGGGGAAUGAGAAUGUAGGAGCCAAUGAAGAGAUUCAAAAAUUAAGGCAGCAAAUGAUAUAAAUGCAUCGAUCUGGGGCUAAUGGGUUCCCGCCUCCUCCAUUUUCUGCUGAUAAUCUUGAAUAUCUUUCUAGCUUGCCUCCAGUGUCACAUACAUAGUUUCCUAUUUUUGUUGACAUGCCACAACAUACAUCAGGACCUACUCCCAGGCUGUAAUAUCCAAACACUUUCAAUAUUCAUUUCCUCACCCCUCAACGCAAAACUACUACAUACUCGGCUCCACCUGUUGUUCAUGCUUUUGCAACGCAACCCCCGUCUGAAGCUCUUGCUUUUAAUGUCAAUCCAGCAGUUGUAAUUCCCCACUCUACAAGCGACCCUGUAUUGAAUAUUUCUAGUGAUCAGAAUUAUGCUCCCGAGACCACAUUUAAGUCGACUGGUCCAUACGGCAAUACUCAACUGCCUGAAGUUCCUCUUAACUAUUAGAAGCCUGUUAUGACAGAAGAGCAAGAGAAAAUAACCAGAAAAUUGAGAAGUUUGGAACUGACUAUGAAAAACUUGCAAGGACUUGGGGGGUACAAAAAUGUCUAAUAUAAAGAUCUGUGCAUGUUUCCAGAUGUUCAUCUUCCUCUUGGUUUUAAAAUUCCAAAGUUUGAGAAUUAUGAUGGACAUGGCGAUCCUGUAGCACAUUUGAGACGCUAUUACAACCAACUAAGGGGCGCUGGAGGGAAAGAAGAAUUACUCAUGGCAUAUUUCGGUGAGAGUCUUUCAGGUCUAGCUUCAGAAUGGUUUGUUGACCAAGAAAUCGGCAAGUGGAAUAGUUGGGAUGACCUGGCUAAUGAAUUCAUGCAAUAAUUCCAAUACAAUAUGGAGUUGAUUCCUGACGAGAAGUCCCUAACUAAUAUGAAGAAAAAGAGUACUGAAACUUUCAAAGAGUAUGCAAUUAGAUAACGUGAACAAGCUGCUAGGGUAAAACCACCAAUGAAAAAAAGUAAGAUAGUGGAGGUGUUUAUUCAAGUGCAGGAUGAAACAUAUUAUCAACACUUGUUACCUGCAUUAGGCAAGCCAUUUAUUGAGGUCCUCAAAAUGAAGAAGAUGGUAAAGGAUGGAAUUAAGGCCGGUCGCAUUGUGAGUUUUGCAACAUUGAAAGCGACUACUCAACCAAUUCAAAAAGGUUUGGGAAGUGUCGGAGGGAAGAAGUAUGGGGAAUAUGCAUCUUCCAUUGUAGUUGGACAAUAGGCACAGGCAAGAGGACCACACCAUCGUUACCCACAGGCUCAAACCUAAGUUUAUGCCCAAGCUCUACAAAAUCUUUCCCACAAUCCAUUAUACUCUAUUCCCCCACCUCCAUAUCCAAUAUACAAUGCACAACUCUAUGGUCAAUUCCCUUCUUAACCACAAUGGCGUGUACCAACUCUUCAGAGUCAUCCUCAAACUCCACAAACAUACCAAAGCCCUUCUAGGCCAGAUUUUUAGUCUAAGCCAAACAAUGAAAUGAGACAAAAGUUGAGGGAUAGAUUCACACCAAUUAGAGAGUCAUAUGCAAGUUUAUUCCAAAAAUUAGUACAGUAAGGAAUGAUCACUCCUCUCCUUGGGUUUGCAAUUCAAGAAGUUUUUAUCCUAAUGUACGAUGCACAUAUUAUUCUGAUAUUUACGGUCACAAUAUUUAAGAUUGUCGUGCUUUGGAAAGAGAAUUUGAAAAGAUGAUUCAAGAUAAAUCCAUUAUGGUGAAGAACAUUGACAGUGAGGAAAGCUCUAGUCAUGCUGAUAUGCAAACCAGUGGCUAAGAUUCAGGCUGUGCAAUUGAGAAGUCACCCCUCUCCCUACUAGGAAGAGGUCUGGUAGCUUGUUUUGUGUUAUUUUUUGUUGUCUGAAUUAUUUUAGGGUUGUAGUUUAGGAUCUAUCUUAUUUUGUCCUUUUGUCGUUUAUGUUCAAACCCUUCUAUCUUUUGUUUCAACUAAAUAAAGUGCCCCAUUUUUCUGUGUGUUUUAAAUAUGUGUUGUUUGUUGUUUUCUUUACAUAGUACAUUUUAUGUUGACUCUAGUGAUAUGACAUGCUAGUGAAAUUUUCAACUAGAUCUUAAAAUCUAGUUUAAGCAUGAACAUUGAAUCAGAGGGUUAAAGUUAGAAAAAAAGAGCAUAUGAGAAAAUAGAUAGAGUGCUGAGAUAUUUGGUGAUAAGUUCAAGCCUUCAUUAAAAAUUAAGGUAAUUAUUUUGAGAAUCACAAGAAUAACUUGGUCAUCAAUUGAAAAACAUAGCUCCAUUAGGUCAAAUAGCGGAUGUGUGAUUUUGAGGAACAGAAAAAUUAUCUCUACGACAGCAUGGGUCAGUCGAUGUGAGGGAUCUAUAACAUAGGUAGAGUUGUAUGUCUGACAAGCCCAGAAGAAGUAGUGGCACACAUGCUCUGUUAAAGUUAGUAUUGUGAAAAUGUCACAGAUGAUCUUCAUCUUUCACUUUUAUAUUGCAUGAUGAGUACUGACAUUUUCAAGGAUUGAUAUGACGAAUGCAUUUCAUUUUUCUAUCUAUCCAUUGGGUCAUCCUUUUUGUACCUUAUUUGAGCCUUAGUGUUAUUUUCUUUCAUACACCUCUUUUGGAAUCAAUAUAGAGUCAGCAAUGCUCAAAAGAAAAGUGUCGAGAAAAAAAUAAUCAGACAAAAAAAGAGAGAAAAAAUGUGUCCAAAAAAGAAAGAAAAGGGAAUAAUGUCAAGAAAAAUAAAGUCAGAAAAAAGUGAAAAUGAGUCAAUAAAAGAAAAAAACAAAGAAAUCAGAAUCAAUCAAAAGAACAAGCUGUCAGAACUAUGCAUGACCUGAUUCUCCUCUUCCGGGGGUGAGAUACAUAGGCUGCCCUACUCUGGGCUCGGUCCAACCAAAUAAACAAUUUAGAGUCACCCAGUCAAAAGAAACUGGGGCAUGAGUUAAUCCUCAUUCUUUGAGUCGAUUCCAAAAGUUAUACGUCCUACCCCACUUUAAGUGUCGUUUGAGCCUCAUGUCAUCCUUUCUUUCUAACCCUAUCCAAAAGCCAAGUUACAACCAAAGAAAAACCUUCAUAUCAAUCUUUGAGAAUGUUAAGGCUAAGUAUGCAAGAGAUAUGAUGACACAUUUUGGGAACUACUUGUGUUCCUCAACAUAAGGAAUCAGGAGAGAAAUAAAAAUGAGAAAGUCUUAUUGGUGAAAACCCUCACGGGCACCAUAAGGAGAUGGUAAAUCGAGAGAGAUAAAAAUGAGAGAGUUUUAUUAGUGAAAACCCUCACGGGCAUUGUAAGACAUCUGGGAGUUGAGAAAAAUGAAAAUAAGAGUCUCAUUAGUGAAAAACCCUUACGGACACCAUAGGAAAAUAGUGAUCUGAGAGAACAAAAAUGAGAGAGUCUCAAUGGUGAAAAACCCUUACAAACACCAUAAGACAAAGGUGAUCUGAGAAAAAAAAAACGAGAGAGGCUUGUUGGAAAAAGCCCUUCAAGGUGUCAUUAGCCGAAUGAGGUCUUAAAUGCAAUUGACCUAAGGAAAAAACUCAUUUUCAAGGCCAUUAACUCAAUAAAAAUUGGUAGAAAGUUUGGAUGGAAAGAUCAGGUAGCUUAAUCAGAAAUGCAUGGCAUAAUAAUUAGAGUUGACUGCCAUUUCUAGAUAAAAUUUUCAUUUCUUUGUUUCAAAUGGGACAUUCAUUGUGUUUUCUUUCUUCUCUUUAUUUUUAUUUUGUUUUCUUGAGUCAGUUGUCCAAAUAAAAUUCAUUGUCAUUUUUUUCUUGUCUUUGAGUCAAAUCCAUAUCAAAAUAAGUGAGAAAAGAUUUUAAAAGAGGCUACCAGCUUCUUCAAUUGUACAAAGCAAGACAAAAGGUCAACACAUGAAAGAGACAUGAUUAUGAGCCGAAAUAAGGCAUGCAAAAAUUUUUGUCAACAUACAAGUCUAGGAACUUAUAGAAAUAUCAAGGUUCAAAGGGUUUAUCUGAAAAGCAUGGCAAAACAGAAAUACUAUGUUUGUUUCAGAGUCACUCUUAAUAAUCUGAGUUCGGAUCAAUGAUGCAGUGAGUCAGUGACAUAUGCUAAUGGUUGAAAUCAAGAUUAAAUAUAGCGGGGGCAAGAAAAAUUGCCACAAAAUCCAAAGCCACAAACCAGCCACCAUGUUUUUAAACUCACCAGUUUUCUUUGUAUGAAACAGGAAUACAAGUUAUUUUCAAAUCAAGAACUUCAGGGUCUAAAUGUCAAAAGAUGCAAUGCCUCACUUCCGAAAAUUCAAGUGGCAGUGUUGCUGCACAGAUUUGAUAAUUAAAACCAUGGUAAUUCAAGUGAUAUUUGUAAGGAGGCGUAUUUCCUUGUUUGGACAAUUCAAGGGGCAUUCGUAAGGAGAUGGACUUCCUUUUCUGGAUAAUUCAAGCAACAUUUGUAAGGAGACACACUUCUUUGUCUGGAUAAUUCAAGCGACAUUUGUAAGGAGAUGCGCUUUUUUUUUUGGACAAUUCAAGCAACAUUUGUAAGGAGACAUACUUCCUUGUUUUGAUAAUUCAAGAGGCAUUGGUAAGGAGACGCACUUCCUUGUUUUAGUAAUUCAAGCAGUAUUGGUAAUGAGAUGCAAUUUCUUGUUUUGGUUAUUCAAGAGGAAUUGGUAAGGAAAUGCACUUUCUUAUUUUGGUAAUUCAAUAGGCAUUGGUAAGGAGACACACUUCCUUAUUUUGGUAAUUCAACCAGCAUUGGUAAGGGGAUACACUUCCUUGUUUUGGUAAUUCAAGAGGCAUUGAUAAGGAAAUACACUUUCUUGUUUUGGUAAUUCAAGAAGCACUGAUAAAGAGACGUAAUUUCUUGGUUUGGUAAUUCAAGCGGCAUUGGUAAGGAGACACACUUCCUUGUUUGAUAAUUCAAGCAAUAUUUGUAAGGAGAUGCACUUCCUUGUUUUGGUAAUUCAAGCAGUAUGGGUAAGGAGACACACUUUCUUAUUUUGGAAAUUUAAGCGGCAUUUGUAAGGAGGCACACUUUCUAGUCAAAAUUUCUCAGUUUAAUUCUUAGGAGACGCACUUUCUAGUCUUGAUCAUUCAAUUUUACUCUCAAGAGAUGCAUUUCUUGGUCAAAGUCUUGAUUUAUCAUUGCAACAUGUAAGAAGAUAUGAUGUGACUUUCCCAAAAGUCUUAUGAUGAUAAACUGGGGAAAAAUUUAAUUUCUGUUUUUGGAACUUUAUUUUUCUAGCAAAUGGAAUUUCUCGUUACAAUAAUUUUUAUUUGGGAUAAUUUUCUUUCUAGUUUUGAUGUGAUUUCAGGAGCCCGUCUGAAGAAUAGAGCGAUUAAAUGAAAGUCAAGCAAUAGAGUGGAAAAGUUGAAAGUCAAGUAAAAAGGGUAAGAGAUAAAAUAUCAAGCAACUAGGUGAAGAAAUUAAUAGCCAAGCAAUAAGUUGAAAAAUUGCAAGUCAGGAGCCCGCCUGAAGAAUAGGGUGAUGAAACUCAAGUCAAGAGCCCAAAAGAAGUUGUAUAGAUAGGAUUUUUGUAAUUUAAUUUAUGUUUUAACUUGUAAUUUUCAUUUUUGAUGUAAUGACAGAGCCGCGGACUGGAACCUCGACGGGACCUCACUCGAUUCUCCAACUCGGUUGUCCUUCUUCCUUUUGUUUCUUCCUUUGAAUAAUGGUCGGGUCAAAAUUCUGUCUCGUUGUCUACUUCUUUGUAUGAAAACACUUUGUGUUUACAUGAAAAGAGGGGCAUGAUGUAGACACGUCAUUUUGUCCCUCCCCUAAAGAAUUUUAACCAUUUUUACUCUCGCCUUACCACAUACCCUCACCCAUAUGAUUAUAUCCCAUAAAAAUACAAAAAAUAACAACCCUAUCCUAUCCAACUUUACACCUCAUCCUAACAACCUACCCCACCCCAUACCCCUACCCACCUACCCAUGUACCCCUCCCCUUCAUAUUUUUCCUUUGGUUAUCCCAUAAGAGAACAAAAAAUAAAAGGGGACAACACCACAUUCACUCAGAAGGGGCAAAAGAAAAAGGGAAGACACCCAGCUGACUCCACUGAUUUCUUUACCAACAAGAAUAUAUAAUUGAACACAAUACAAAAAAGGAAUGAGGGCAACAUUAUCUUCUCCAUUUUUCUCUUACAUACACAUACUAACACAUACAAACGCCAUUGAAGACCCUAUUUUUCUUCUCCUUACUUCUCCAUUAUCACACACCCAUAGAGAUAUCAUUUUUUCUCUCUUCUAUUCUUCCUUUUGCAAUACGCGCACCCAGUAUAUAGUAAAUCGUGCGCACACACGUAUUGAGCAAAAAAUCAAAAUGAAAAUAAAGAGGAUUUGAGGGUUUUGAUUGUUCUUUCUUUAGUUUUUCUGGUGAAAUCUCGCCAGAAUCAUUUUCAAGUUCAUCGUCUCAACCUACUCAGCCUCGAAAACCCCCAUAUACUCUUUUUUAUUCUUGAUUUAUGGAUAGGAUUGCACUGGAAUCAACAUCCAUCGUGAGUUGGAUUAAAAUCAGCCCCAAGUCCGUUCCCGUCGUUGAUUGAGUCAGUAUAAGUGUUGGUUAUUGUAGUCAAUUUUGGGUUGCUUGUUUAUUGAUACCGUGUUGGGAUUUUGUCGUUGUUGAGGUUUCCUAUUCGGGCUUUUGGAUUCGGGCUUUUUUUUUAACUCAUAUCAUCAAUAAUAGUCAUAUCAGAAGGUCCAAUUCUACCCUCUCUCCUUUUAAUUUUUACGUGAUUAUGAAUGAUUUGUGUAUUUGCAUGUUUGACUCCCUGUUGGUUGUUUGCUUGAUGUUGAAUUUGGAGGAGAAAACUUGAUUGAUGAAUCGCGUAUAAAAUUAGUUUGAUCAUGUGGUUAAAAAAUGGAUUUGGGGGUGAGAAUUGAAAAUUUGAUAUAAUUGGUGAUUUUGGUUAGUUUGAUUUAAUUAUUUGUUUGAUGUGAAAUGACCGUUAAUUGAAAUUGGUAGUAUCAUGAUACACCGAUUGAUUUAGGCAAACGUAGGUUGGGUAGGCAAAGUUUAGAAUUUGUGAUUUUGUUGAAUGUUUGAAAUUUGGGUGAAUGAUUUGGUUUUCUUGCAUUGAAAAAUUAUACUCAUUUGGCCGGGAAAUACCCCAAGGUAUUUGUAUUGACUUAUUCGGGAAAUGAUCCAAAGUAUUUUAUACUCGGAGGAUGUUCGUGAUGAAGGUCCAAGGCAUCGGGUAAAACGUCGGAGCAUAGUUUAGAAUAGGAUUUAUAUUUUUUUUGCAUUUUUCUAUUUUUGGAUUGUAAUAAUUGGACUGGACACUAUAAUUUUGGAUUUGUUUGUUUAUUUGAUUGAUUAGUUUGUAUGUUUUUGUGUGAUUUAUACACUUUUAGUGUCGAAUUAGCUGAUAUGCUCCACCAAGCGACCGUGGUUGAACCACGGGAUCGAGGGGUGCCUAACACCUUCCCCUCGGUCAACAGAAUUUCUUAGCCGGAAUCUCUGUUCGCAGAUUAGUUUUAGAGUAAAACUGUUUUGAAAAGGAUUUCCAAAGGUGACUUGGCACACCCGAUUUAUGCCAAUUAGAGACUCUGAGUUAAUUGUAAAAUGAAUCCUUUUCGGAACAAAUUUUGUUCUUUUGUCACUUUAUUAAUAAAAACCCUUUCGAACCUUAAAAUUGAUUUUUUUUGGUUAAAAACAGGGUGUCACACCAAUGUAAAUAGGGCCUAUGAUCACCGAAUAAACUCAUGCAUUAUGUUGUGAUGAUGAUGAUUUACAGAACUCGUGUGCAAGGUCAUCCCUAUGUAAAGUCUCAUUUUCUCAUGUUUUGUGCUUUUACGUUUCACUAGGGGUUACCAUGAAGCUCGUUUGAUGCCUGAACAUUUUUUUUAUGUGAAGGAGACAUGUCCAGCACAAGGUUUUGUUCUUUAUUCCACACUUUUAUAACUUCAAAAGGUCCCCACCCAUCAUUCGGGGACGAAUGAUCCCAAGGCAGAGAUAAUGUAACACCCCGUACUUUUGGGCUAGAAUCUAGACCCACGUUCCUACUCGUAUAGACCUGAAUAAGAUGAUUCCUUGUUUAUAUAUGUGUGGUGAUCAAUCCUAUAGUGUGUUAAAACCUUUAAAUAUGACUUGAGGUCACAAAAAUCUCCUAACUCCAAGAUGAGUUGGAAACAUUUCUACUAAUUAAGUUUUAGGGCCUGUUUAAACUUGGGUAAACUUCCAUUGACAAUAACUCCUGGUAUAUGAUGAAUUACAGGGACUACUAUAUAUCAAAUGAAAGGUCUUUGAAGUAUCUUUUCAAUGAUACUAAUUUUGGCCAAAUCCGAUAUCCGAACAAAAAGUUACAGCCAUUUUCGUGAUAGAGGCAGUAGCUGCGCGCGAUUAGCGUGCGACGCACGCUAUGUCGCACGCCCCAAAUUUUCAGUUUCUCUUUUUGUGUGUUUUAAGGGCAAUUUGGACCUUUAAUUCACCCUAACCCAUCCAUAACAUAAAAUAUCAUCCCUAAGGAGCAUUAGAUAACAGUUUUUCUCUAACUAAAAACCCUCGCCACCUCUAAGAACAAGAAAUCAAGAAUUCAUCCUUGUAAGUCAAGAUCUUCAAGAAGAGUUUCAAGAAUAGGGUUCCAAUCUUCAAAUCAAGAAACAUUAAGAUAUGUGGGACUUCUCUAAACAUCAUGGGCAUAGUUUUUCUAUUGUUUUAAUUAUGUUAAAGAUCCCCAAUUAUAUUUACAAAGAAAGGGUUUAGAAUUGCUUGAAAAACACGUCAUGAAAUUGUUUUGAAGGAAAUGCAUCUUGUCUUGAAUUGUCUAUCACAAAUUUUGAAUACAACUAUAUAUCUAUGUUUUGGGGUGCAAUGAAAAUUUUGAACGAGAGCAUGAAUGAUCAAAACUCCCUCUUUAUCAUGAUAUUUUUGGAUUUAUAUUGUUAUGGGUUGUUUAAAGGCAUGAACUUUUCGAGAUGGAAACUAAGUAGUAAAUACUUGUUCAAUGAUCAUGGAUUUGUACUAUUUAUGAUAUGUCAAGAGGUUUUUUUCAAAUGGUAAAUGUUCAUUGUGUCAAAUUAACCUUUUUCCUUGAAUCUUAAAUAACACGAAUAUGAGAUGGACACCUAUUGUUUGUAUAAAUGAGAGGAGAGUGUUUUGAUGAAAACGUGAAUGAAAGAUCUUAUGCAUAUCUCUCUCUCACUUGGUGUUUUAAAAGCUAUGGGUGGUCAUUAACAUGGUAAUACAUGAAAAGGGCUACAGAUUGAUAAGAUGUGAUUUGAUUGACUUGUAAGUCAGGGUAUGAUGAUACUUGGUGAUUAUAUGCCCUUAACAAGAUAAAUAUUGAAUAUUUUGAACGUAUGAAGCAUGUUUGAUUUAAAAGAACUAAAAGUUGGGCUUAAGAGAGUUAGAUGGUUACUCGAAGAAAGAACGAGUCAGAUGACUCUAUGCCGAAAAUCGUGAAUUGCCGAUACGGGAACUAGCUACCCUUCUAUGUUAUCUUGUGUACCUAGUACUUUGUCAUCCCAAAUCGUGACUUAUGGUUUGGAGCCCUGCUUUGUGAUCUUGAGCCCAUCCACGACAUAAUGACUUGAUUGGGAUUGUGGCACCUUACUGUGUGAUCUUGUGUGCUCUUCCCUCACUAGCACUCCAAUCUUGGUGGCAAUCGAGAUUUGGUAGUAGGUGAAAAAUGUGAAAUUGUAGGAUGUACCAUCUAACUCAGAAGAAUAACAAAGAGUGAGGCAAGGUUAUCAAGAACUAUUUUGAAAUUAUUAAAUAUGCCCAUGUAUUCUUACUUAUAUAAAGCUCUCUGUUACUAUGAAUUACUCUCAUCUAUUUUGUAUAAAAACAUGUUAUUUUGAGUUGUUUCAUAUACCAGUACAUCUGUAUUGACCCCCCUAUAUUUUAGGAUCUGAGCCACAGUCCCGGGAUCCAACUAAUCAAUAGAUUGGAUUGUUCGAAGUUUGUAGGGGGUGAGCCUUCUUUAUUUCGAACUAGGGGCCUUGUCCUAGUUUUAGUUAUGAUGAUUGGUCUUGAUGUACUAGAGAUUUUGCAGACAGAUGGUAGAUAUUGUUGAGGGUUUAUUGAUUUCUUUCGACUGUUCAGUCGUAUGAUGUUAUUGAUCAUGUUUUCAUAUGAAUCCAUUUCCUCAUUCUCUUUAUGAUUGUUUGAAUGUGU
rnacentral:lncRNA from 1 species